UUGGGCCUAAGCAUCCGUAGCCGGCUGCUCAAGUUUCCGGUUAAAUCCACACGCUUAACGUAUGGGCUGCCGGAAAUACUGUUCAGCUAGGGAGUGGGAGAGGUAGACGGUACUCGAUAGGAAGGGGUAAAAUCCUUUGAUCUAUUGAUGACCACCUGUGGCGAAGGCGGUCUACCAGAACACGUUCGACGGUGAGGGAUGAAAGCUGGGGGAGCAAACCGGAUUAGAUACCCGGGUAGUCCCAGCUGUAAACGAUGCAGACUCGGUGAUGCAUUGGCUUAUGGCCAGUGCAGUGCCGCAGGGAAGCCGUUAAGUUUGCCGCCUGGGAAGUACGUACGCAAGUAUGAAACUUAAAGGAAUUGGCGGGGGAGCACAAGCCGA
rnacentral:rRNA from 2 species